GGGAGUAGAGGAAGCAGGAAAGUGACUUUUCCUGUUUUAAGUAAUGAACAAAAAACAGGUGGUAAUGCAAGAUAGCCAGUUCAGAAAAACAACAUUAAGCUCAAGCAUAAUGUUGAAAGUAUAAAAUCUUGUGUAGUAAUAUUGCUUAUAAUAGGUUGAAAUUAUAAUUAGCUUUAAUUGCGUAAUUCAUGGCAAAUCAUUGCUUCCUAAUUUUUAGUGCUAGUUUUCCUUCUGCUUUGUCACUGGAUAAUUUAGAACGCUCUUUUUUAAUUUGAGUUAAGGGGUAGAAUUUACCUUAUGGAUCGUUUGUAUUUCAGCAAAAAGAUUUUUGAGCAUUUACUGUUUUAGGGAAAUAGUAAAAUAUAUCUAUUUAAUGCAAGGAAACGGGUAAAACUUGUAUGUAAAUGCCCUUAACUUGUGAACUUGCACCAUUUUUACUGGAAGUCUAGAAUAUAUUUUUGGUAACUUGUGGUUAUCAGUGUAUUGGCUCCUUUCCCUUAUUUGUUCUGUAUUUUUCCUCUUUUAAUAGUAAAUUUGCGGAACAGGGAUCUUAGAUGUUUAAUGAGAACUAAAUGUUGCUUUCAGUCAUUUUCAAUGCAUGAGCUGUUCUGUUACAUACAGUACUGUACUGUUGCAAUACUGAUACUUCUCUGCUGGUUAAAGAGUAUUUGCUUCUAGAUAAAGGUUCGCAUAAAAUGACUGUCUUCAAUUUAUCUACCUUUAGACUCUCUGAAUGGUGAUGUAUGGUAACAUUUCUACGUGCACUGAUUGUGUUCACGCUCAGGCCAUAGGGAAAUUGCUGAUGAAUAAGCUAUGCUGGAAAUCCUCUUCAGAACACGAGAAGAGAUUUCUGUUGUUUUAGAUACAUCCCCAUGAAAGUGUUUGGUGAUUGAAACACAGCUUUCAUAUCUGAAAAGGAGGCUGUGUUCUCUCUCUGUAAGAGAGAAGUGCCAAAGUGUCUUUUCAGUGGUUUGCUGCAGUGUAAAAUAGCUUGCAAAUUUGAAAAGCUUCUACAUUAAGAUCCUAUUUUUUUAAAAACAACAAAACCAAAACCCACCAAACUGCAGUACUUGCAGUAAGGUUUCUCACUUAGCUAUUGUUACAUUCCUGUUGUAGAUUGUUUCUAGAUGUAUCAUCAUUCUUGUAAAGUGCCCUGUGAAGUUAUUCAUGUUUAGAAACAGUCAACUAUUGCCUACUUUAAAAAAAGAAAAAAAAGGAAUUGAGAAAAGCAACAUCACAAGUUCUGACAGGCUUUUGUUAAUGAUGCCUUUUAUUUAGCUUUGAGAGCACUAUCGAGUAUGGGAAAUGGAGCAAAAAUGUUCAUUCUUCUCAUUGUGCUAUUUAAUUUAUACAGAGGUACAGUGACAAUAUGGUAAGGAAUAUUACAGUAAAAGUCACCUGCUCUGAAUAGGCAAUAAACUGCUACAUGUACGUUUUAGAAGCUGCUGAAGUUUCCUAACUCUGUCUGCUACAAUAUUAAGACUCAUCCUUUUUAUUUUCUCAACUUCUAUCAAAGUCUGAAUACCCUGGCCAAGGUAGGAGUCUUGACUGCAAGGCACAAUACAAGUUCAGCUGCUGUAAAUUGACAGGGUCCUGAUUCUUUUGAAGCUCAAGUCAGAUAGCCAGGUACCUUGAAGACCUGGGCUCCUUAUGCUGAUAGUGGGAAUAGCUGAG
rnacentral:lncRNA from 1 species